rnacentral:rRNA from 1 species
AGGAUUAACGCUGGCGGCGUGCCUAACACAUGCAAGUCGAACGAGGUAGCAAUACCUAGUGGCAGACGGGUGAGUAACGCGUGGUCAACCUACCGUUGAGUGGGGGAUAACUAGCCGAAAGGUUAGCUAAUACCGCAUACGUCUCCGAGGGGCAUCCCUUGGCGAUAAAAGGAGCAAUCCGCUCGAUGACGGGACCGCGUCCCAUUAGCUAGAUGGUGGGGUAACGGCCUACCAUGGCACCGAUGGGUAGCUGGUUUGAGAGAGCGACCAGCCACACUGGGACUGAGAAACGGCCCAGACUCCUACGGGAGGCAGCAGUGAGGAAUUUUUCCGCAAUGGGCGCAAGCCUGACGGAGCGACGCCGCGUGUGGGAAGAAGGCCUUCGGGUCGUAAACCACUGUCGAAGGGGACGAUAAUGACGGUACCCUUGGAGGAAGCCCCGGCUAACUACGUGCCAGCAGCCGC